ensembl:lncRNA
CUGACUGAGCGGUGGUAGGCAGAAGUAGGCGCGUUCAUUCAAACAGCACUUUUGUGCGUUUUGCCAGCAGCUCUUCGUUGUGUGUCAAGCAUUGCGCUGUUUAUGACUUCAAGCCUAUCAACACUCGAGAUGAGGCUGGUGUAACCGAAGUGAAAUGGCUGGUUAGUUAGCGCGCGCUAAUAGCGUUUCAAACGUCACUCGCUCCGAGCCUUCUAGUAGUUGUUCCCCUUGCUCUGCAUGGGUAACGCUGCUUCGAGGGUGGCUGUUGUCGUUGUGUUGCUGGUUCGGGAGGAGCGAGGAGAGGGACGGAAACUAUACUCUUACACUGGCAAUUCUAAAGUGCCUAUAAGAACACCUAAUAGUCAAAGGUUAAUGAAAUACAAAUGGGAUAGAGGGAAAUAGUCCUAUAAUUCCUAUAACUACAACCUAAAACUUCUUACCUGGGAAUAUUGAAGACUCAUGUUAAAAGGAACCACCAGCUUUCAUAUGUUCUGAGCAAGGAACUGAAACGUUAGCUUUCUUACAUAGCACAUAUUGCACUUUUACUUUCUUCUACAACACUUUGUUUUUGCUUUAUUUAAACCAAAUUGAACAUGUUUCAUUAUUUACUUGAGGCUAAAUAGAUUUUAUUGAUGUAUUAUAUUAAGUUAAAAUAAGUGUUCAUUCAGUAUUGUUGUAAUUGUCAUUAUUACAAAUACAUUUAAAAAGAGGCCGAUUUUUAAAUCGGUAUCGUUUUUUUGGUUAUCCAAUAAUCGGCACCGGCUUUUAUGGUCCUCCAAUAUCGGUAUCGGCGUUGAAAAAUCAUAAUCGGUCGACCUCUACUUGAAAGUGAUUUGGUGUUUUAAUAGGGCCAGGGUGAUCUAACUUGCAAUUUGUAGUCUGACAUUUCAGAUUUAGAUAUAAGAAUUUUUCACGUAGUAGUCUGGAUGUAGUUAACACAUUUUUCAAAAUAACUUUAUUUAAGUAAGCUAUAACUGUAGCUUAUUUUCUUCCAGUGCAAAGUAAUUGGUAACUUGGUAAACUAUUUUCAGUGUUGUAUCCCCAACACUGAGAAGGGAGGAUCAUUAUUUAUUUUCACUCUUCUGAUUUUUUUGUGAUUUAAAAAAAAAAAAAAAUUUUUUUUUUUGUGAUCAAGCAAUAUACAGGCUUCAAAUCUUGCGUUGGUUUCUCUCACACUGUCUCGCUCUGCCUCCUGCUAAGAGGUUAAAAGUAAUAGAUUUUCUGAACUUCUUAAUCCUGGAUGUUCCUCCCACUACUCAUCACUUUUGUGUGACACCUCAAUACUUCAUCACUGCAUUUUCCUUCGAUAGAAAAUGCCCUUGAGCAAGUCGCUGCUCACCUCAGAACUAGACCUUGGUUAGACAGAUACAGCCUGUCUGUCUAACAUCUAGCUACUACUAAAAGAAGGAAUUACAUUUCCAAGAGCAUAUUAGAUGUUCGGCCAGGGGUUUUCAUUGGAUCGACGUGAAUCUUAUUUUAAUUAUUAUUUUAAGUAUUUAUUGAUUGUGCUACUGUAUUUCCUAGAAAAAUAAGUUACAAAAAUAAAACCUGAAAGCAUGCUUUAUCAUAGCCUCUAUUCUGCAAUUUGGGAGGAAAUAAUGAAUGUGAUGCAGGGGUGUCAUGAUGCUCGUGUAUUAUUUGACUCAUUCUUCACUUUCAGUACAUAAGGUUCAGUGUGAACAAUUAUCGCAGAAUAUUCCAGAAUUCACAAUUGAUACAUGAUCAUGACAUUUACUGUUUUCAUAUGGUGCUUAAAUACAUGUGUCUAGUGUUUUCUCUGAGGAAACCAGAAAAAUAAAACAAAAGAAAGGAACGAG